rnacentral:rRNA from 1 species
AUUGAACGCUGGCGGCAGGCCUAACACAUGCAAGUCGAGCGAGGGGGGGACGGGAGAGAAAUGUAUGGGGACGGCUCGAGAGAGGGGGAUAAUUAGUGGAAACGGUGGCUAAAACCGAAAAGUAUCGGAUAACCCAUAUGGGAUUAGCUAGUAGGUGGGGUAAAGGCUCACCUAGGCGACGAGCUCUGGCUGGUCUGAGAGGAUGAUCAGCCACACUUGGACUGAGACACGGCCCAGACUCCUACGGAGGCAGCAGUGGGGAAUAUUUCACAAUGGGCGCAAGCCUGAUGCAGCCAUGCCGCGUGUAUGAAGAAUGCCUUAGGGUUGUAAAGUACUUUCAUCGGUGAGGCGUUACCCGCAGAAGAAGCCCCGGCUAACUCCGUGCCAGCAGCCGCGGUAAUUC